rnacentral:rRNA from 1 species
AACGAACGCUGGCGGCAUGCCUAACACAUGCAAGUCGAACGAAGGCUUCGGCCUUAGUGGCGCACGGGUGCGUAACGCGUGGGAAUCUGCCCUUUGGUUCGGAAUAACAGCUGGAAACGGCUGCUAAUACCGGAUGAUGACGAAAGUCCAAAGAUUUAUCGCCAGAGGAUGAGCCCGCGUUGGAUUAGGUAGUUGGUGGGGUAAAGGCCUACCAAGCCGACGAUCCAUAGCUGGUCUGAGAGGAUGAUCAGCCACACUGGGACUGAGACACGGCCCAGACUCCUACGGGAGGCAGCAGUGGGGAAUAUUGGACAAUGGGCGCAAGCCUGAUCCAGCAAGGCCGCGUGAGUGAUGAAGGCCCUAGGGUUGUAAAGCUCUUUUACCCGGGAAGAUAAUGACUGUACCGGGAGAAUAAGCCCCGGCUAACUCCGU